ACUAAACAUUUGUAUAUGGCAAUGCUUCAUCGGAAAACAAACCACAGCCAACUUCGCUAAGAACGGACGCACAUUUUUCAAGUAACCGAUAACCAAUUAAACUCUUGAUUUUCAAAAUGGCUACUUAUGAAAACUUUUGCAACAAUUCUUUCAUUUAUAAAUUUAGAAGAAACGUGACAACAUCUAUUCAGUGUUAAAAGAAUCAGAUAUUUAAUAUAAAAAAAAUCAAUCGUUAAGAUGGAAAUAAUAAAGAAUUUAUAGAGAUAAUCCAAGUGAAAUGAAUGUGGAAAAUUGAAAAACAUGUGCUCUAAAAUUUAGAAAACCCAUGUUAAAAUGGAAAUACUUAUUAAAAAAAAACUAAUAAGAUAUUCCAAGUGAAAUGAAUGUCGAAAAAUGCAUGCGAAAUCCCUUAAAUUGAAGAAAGCCAUGUGAAAUUUUCUAUUUUUGAGGAUAUGAACCGAAUUCAAAAGUAAAUUCCAAAAUGAUUGUAAAGUUAUUUACAAUCUUAUGGAGAAAUAGAAGCAGUUUUGGCGCCAUUUAAUCAUGAGAACUACUUGGGAGAUGAUAAUUGUUGCAACUUCAAUGUAAGAACGUUCAGGAGAUCCCAGAUCAUUCAGUUUCUUAGAACUACUUGGGAGACGAUAGCAUUGUUGUAACUUCAAUGUAAGAAUGUUCAGGAGAUACCAACUCAUUUAAUACCUUAGAUAAUCUUUGGAAAUUGACUUGCAUCAAACUCUCCCAGAGAUGACAAAUGUGUGAAUUAUAAAUUCCUAAAAUUUGCUGUUUUAAAAAGAUUUAAUAAAAACUAAAUAAUUUCAAAUAAAA